CCUACGGAAGGCAGCAGUGGGGAAUAUUGCACAAUGGGGGAAACCCUGAUGCAGCGACGCCGCGUGAGUGAAGAAGUCAUUCGUUAUGUAAAGCUCUAUCAGCAGGGAAGAAAAUGACGGUACCUGAGUAAGACGCCCCGGCUAACUACGUGCCAGCAGCCGCGGUAAUACGUAGGGGGCAAGCGUUAUCCGGAUUUACUGGGUGUAACGGGAGCGUAGACGGCAGUGCAAGUCUGGAGUGAAAGGCGGGGGCUCAACCCCCGGACUGCUCUGGAAACUGUACGGCUGGAGUGCAGGAGAGGUAAGUGGAAUUCCUAGUGUAGCGGUGAAAUGCGUAGAUAUUAGGAGGAACACCAGUGGCGAAGGCGGCUUACUGGACUGUAACUGACGUUGAGGCUCGAAAGCGUGGGGAGCAAACAGGAUUAGAUACCCUAGUAGUC
rnacentral:rRNA from 1 species